rnacentral:rRNA from 1 species
UGGCGCUCGGAGCGGCCGCAAGGUCGCGCCGGCGUGCCGGAAGAUGACCAAACUUGAUCAUUUAGAGGAAGUAAAAGUCGUAACAAGGUUUCCGUAGGUGAACCUGCGGAAGGAUCAUUACCGAACGGUUUUCGUAACCGAAUCUCAGUCCCCAACUGAGUCUAGUUCGUUCCUCCAGGGACGAACGUUCGAACGUUCCUCUUCCGAGGGGGUCCGGUUCUGGGGGUACCUGGUCCUGUCUUGCACGCCAGUGCGAGAGGGGUGCCUCUUCCGAGGCGCUAGGUUUAAUGAGAGGUCGUUCUAGCCUCCGCCCCCCCGAGAACCUCUCGGAGCACGUCUCUCUCGGAGUCGUGGGCUGCGAAGGGCCCCGGGCCUCCCCUGCCAUGGGAGCGUCCACUCCUUGAGGCGUGUUUAAAGUUGUGAAAAACCUUCGCACUCUUCUCCUCCGAGAAGGGUUGGUCUUUUACUCGUGUUUGGUUAUUCGAAAGAGACUUUGUUCUCUUUGAAAAGAAUGAGAGUACAACUCUGAGCAGUGGAUCACUUGGCUCACGGGUCGAUGAAGAACGCAGCCAGCUGCGAGACUUGGUGUGAAUUGCAGGACACAUUGAGCACUGAUUUUUCGAACGCACAUUGCGGCCUCGGUUCCUACCCGGGGCCUCGCCUGUCUGAGGGUCGGAUGAGACUUGCCGAAGGGGAACCUGUUCCCCUACUUGGUCGCAUCGGGUUUUUUUUGAAAAACUCGUCGACCUAAGAGCAGAUCGAGAGAUCUCCAGUCCCGACGAGUUCGGCGGCCCGCGGCCGUGGAAUUCGCGCGUUCUAGAGACACGGAACCGCCAGCCGUCGGCGUCCCGUCGUUCUCGUCGUGGGACUUUGUGAAAUGUCGAC